AUUGAACGCUGGCGGCAGGCUUAACACAUGCAAGUCGAUCGGAGUGAUGGUGCUUGCACUAUCACUUAGCGGCGGACGGGUGAGUAAUGCUUAGGAAUCUGCCUAUUAGUGGGGGACAACAUCUCGAAAGGGAUGCUAAUACCGCAUACGUCCUACGGGAGAAAGCAGGGGAUCACUUGUGACCUUGCGCUAAUAGAUGAGCCUAAGUCGGAUUAGCUAGUUGGUGGGGUAAAGGCCUACCAAGGCGACGAUCGGUAGCGGGUCUGAGAGGAUGAUCCGCCACACUGGGACUGGGACACGGCCCAGACUCCUACGGGAGGCAGCAGUGGGGAAUAUUGGGCAAUGGGGGGAACGCUGAUCCAGCCAUGCCGCGUGCGUGAAGAAGGCCUUAUGGUUGUAAAGCACUUUAAGCGAGGAGGAGGCUCUUUUGGUUAAUACCCAAGAUGAGUGGACGUUACUCGCAGAAUAAGCACCGGCUAACUCUGUGCCAGCCGCCGCCGUAA
rnacentral:rRNA from 1 species